rnacentral:lncRNA from 1 species
CAGACAAAAGAUAGACAUCUCAGCCCACCAAACUAAACAGUUCAACUACCAUGAAAGAUUAGAAUGUAAUAAUUCCCUAGACUUGACCCUUCCUGUUUAAUAUCAUUAAUAAACAGUUAUUCCUUUAUUUAAAAGUGUGGUGGCCGUGCUGCUACAUCCCUUCUUUCCCAAAGCAAAGAUCAGGUGCCUGCAUCAGACAAUGCAAGAGUGAGAUGACACAUCUCAGCAAGUAAAAAAAACAAACAACAGUUGGACAAUGCAAGCCAACCGUGCAUAAGCAACCACAUGGUUCCCCACUUCUUCCUUAAAUAUUAAUUUGCAGCAAGUAAGCAAGUAAUCAAUUACUCAAUGCCAAGAUGAAUUCCAAAGUAAAGAUCUGUUGGGGACUUGUUCUCAAAUGCUAAGAGUUAAGAACAAGGCAACAUAAAAAGUGUUAAGUGUUAAAGUCCUUCGUCCUUCGAAGCAUUAUGUCCCUUCGGGAAAUAAUGAGUUUCGGACGAAGGUCAUAAGAGUCAUACCUUCGUAAACAUAACAAGUAAUGACGAAGGAUUCAUAUAAAGCAUGAAAUAUAAUAUAAGUAUCAUCAUAGAAUCAUUUCUAUUUUAUUAACAUGGAAAAAUAGAAAUGAUUUCAAAUUACAAAUGUACCUUCAGUCCUGAGAGAAGGUAAAAAGUACAAGCGUGACGCAAAAGCAAAUGCCAAGUCAGCGUGAACAGUACGGGGGUACUGUUCACCUAUUUAUAGGCACGGGAUACAACCCAUACAAAAUUACAUACAUGCCCUUUACAUUUGGUGAUAAUUCCAUAGCAAUCUAUCGAGGUCUAAAUGGCCUUUUCAUCUUUAAGUCGGUUCCCUUUUCUGCGAACAUGCCGAAGCUUUCCUGCUUCACAGCUUCGGCACUGCCAACCUUCGUAUCUUUUGAGGUUCUCCCUCUUUGAUAUAUGUCCGAAGGUACCUGUUCACACAUUACACUCUAGAAACACUGUUAAAUCAUGUUUUUGAGGACCUUCGGAAGCCGAAGGCCCCCAACAGUAGCCCCUCGCAAUAUUAAUUUGUUUGAAAUAAUAAAUUCAGAUUGCGAUAUGAACGAAGGCUUUAUGCCGAAGGUCCGAAAAAACACCUUCCCUUUGCUAGAAUAGCAACAUUCAAUGACAAGUGGGGUCUUUCAACUUUCAACGCAUCAAGCGUAUAAAUACGGCCAUACCACAAACUUAUUUUGCACGCUUUCUGGCCAACCACUCCUGCUCACUCAUCUUUUAGCUCUUGUGCACUGUGAUCUGCUAAGUUUUUAGCUUUGAAGCUUCGGCUUUUAAAAACAGUUUUUUAGUGUUUCCGAAGAUGUCUGAAGCUGCUAAGAAGGCUGCUGCUGAGAUGAAGCUGAGUCUUGAUGAAGAGAAGAACUUAGGGUUUCUUAUAGCAAUGUCGAAGACCAACACAGAAAAGAUCACCAGGGAAAUUCUGGAAGGGCUGUCUGAAGAUACUGGUGACAGUGAAAGUUAUGAUGUGGACAGCGGUGGCGAAGACUCCGAAGAUCGCCCCUGGCGACCAAGCCAUUCAGUUUAUGGUAAAUCAACUAUCAAAGAGAAUCAUCUUGUUAAUAUGAAAGGAAGGUAUUUCCGGGACCUGUCCAUUGUGAGGGCGGACGAAGGGGAAAAAACUUGUCCACACCCUGAAGAAAAUGAAGUUGUGGUGUAUCGAAGCUUUUUGAAAGCUGGAUUGCGAUUCCCCUUGAGCAGCUUCGUCGUGGAGGUGUUGAAAAUCUUCGAAGUCUAUCUUCAUCAACUUACUCCCGAGGCAAUUAUAAGGCUACAUAUCUUCGUGUGGGCCGCGAGAAGCCAAGGUCUGAAGCCUGACGCAAGAAGCUUCUGUAAUGUUCAUGAAUUAUUAUAUGAAACAAAGCCUUGGGGCAAAGAACAGUACCAUAACAACUUUGGCUGCUACAGCUUCGUCUCUCGGUCCGGGGCAAGCUGUCCCGUACCAACCUUUCGGAAGAGAUGGCCCGGGGAUUGGAUGACAGAAUGGUUUUAUGUGAAGAAUGACUUAUCAGCACGAGAAGACAUCAAAGGUAUAAUUAUGCGUCCUAUUUGGCAAAGCUUCGGCCUUCGGAGGCCGAAGGUUGAAAUGAACGAAGCCGCCGAAGAAUGCCAAAGAGCCUUCGGCGUUGUCUGCUCUUUUAUAGGAACAAGGGACUUAGUACAAGAGCAUAUUGCCUUCAGGGUGUGGCCGCUUGCGGAGAAAUGGGAAAUGCCACAAGAAACCCUUAAAGAGGCCGACGAAGGUGGACUUGUCAGGUUUAAGUACACUUUUAAAUUUGGAGAUAAAUUUAUUGAGCCAGAUGAUGAGUGGUUGAAAAGCAUUGACAAUUUAAGUGAUGAGCUGCUUGGGACAUACUCGAAGGCCGAAGAUACUGCAAUGUCAGCAGCCUUCGGAGGCCGAAAAAAGAAAAGGCUGAAUCGGGUAUUUGAUGCCAUCGGGUUUGUCUACCCUGACUAUUGCUACCCCAUUCGAAGGCAGAAGAGAAAAAAUACAACCUCUGCAAAAGAAGAAACUGCAGCUGCUCCUAGCGAGCCAGAACCGAAAAGGAAGAAGAUAAAGGUUCUUUCUUAUCGACCGCGUUAUAUUGAACCAGCUUCGGUGCCUGAGUUUACCGGAGAGACUUCUUCGGCCACCGAAGCUGAAAAACCAGCCGAGCCAACUUUGCUGCCAGAAGUCACAGAAACAGCCGAAAUACCAACGAAGACAAAAUUGGAGCAAUCAAAAAUUUUGUUACCAGAAACGAAAGAGAAGGCCAAAGCGCCAUUCACAGAAAAAAUGGAAGAGGUAAAGGAAGCAAGCGAGGACUCCAAAACAUCAGGAGUUUUGAGUCCUGUGGCAAACAUUGAAACAGUAAGAAAUCAAAAAGUGCCAGCAGUGACUCCGAAAAGAAGGAGAAUGGCUAAUGUGCUAGAUGUGCUGGACACGAUCAAAUCUUCAAGCACCCCUCCGAAGAAGGCUGCCGUCACUCCUGAAACAACAGUCGAAGCUUCGGGUUCUAAAGCUCCAGAGCAAGAUACUGAAGCCGAAGCUGGGCCCUCAGAGCCCUCAAAGGCAAAAACCUUGGAAAGUGAGGCAGAAAAAAUAACAAAGCCAACUUUUGCUGAAGGAACUGGUGUUGUUACCCCCGAAGCAUCCAAAAUUCGCAAUUAUAUUUUUCGUCAUGCUUCGGGGAAAAUAUUAACAGAAAAAGAAGAACAAGAGGCCCAACACUAUGCCCAAAAGUUGAAAUAUCCAAAGGGGGCGUUGAUAUUUAAUGGCAGUGGAGAAGAAGAUUUCUUGUAUUGCCUCCCCGACAGCAAGGAAAUUUCUGUCUGUCGGGAGAUGAGCAGAAGCUUCGGAUUUCCAACUUUAGAAGACGGACUUUCGGUGCUGUCAAAGAACGAUCUGGCUGACAGCCUAGCUUACAACAGUUUAAAGGUGCGACAAAUGGAAUUCUUAUAUUUUUGUUGAAUUCAAAAUUUUUCGUUUGUUUAAAACUAUUGACACAGACAUAUUCCUGUCUGCAGGGCCUGAUACUCAGCAAUGCCCUCAGAGCACAGAAAGAUGCUGAGGACGAAGGAUGUACUAUAGCCCUGAGCAACCUUCGUUCCGAAGUAAUUGAACUGAGGAACGAAGGUCUCGAAAAAGACAAAAUAUUAUACUCAUUGAUAGAUAAAAUAAAGGAGGACGAAGCUGCUUUCAAAAGUCAAGCUGAAGCUCAGAAACGCGAAAUUAAAGACCUUCGGAAACAACUGGCCAGAGCCAAAGAAGAACGUAUACUUGAAGAAACAAAACGUGAACUCAGCGAUCAAUGGGCAGAUCAUCUAGAAGUGACUGUUGAAGAGCUUCGUUCGUCCAAAAAGAAAUGCUACAAUAAAUCUGUAGAUUGUGUUAAAAAAUUAAAGGCUAGCUUCGCCAAGGUCGGCGCAUUCUCAAGUGAAGAAAAUUUUUUGAGGGGCAAUCCCGAAAGUGUCAUUGAAUGGAUUGACCACGAAGCUGAAGCCUUCGAAGAAAUUUUAAAUAGCCGAGGAGAUAUAUGUGCCUUCUCUGGCGCCAGAGGGAUUGCCACCAUUUUAGAGAAGAAGGGUUGUGAGCAUGUGAAAAUUUUAGCACAGUCCGAAGCUGCUUUGUCCUUUGAAGACACAAAAGAUCCUUCGGCCGAAGCUAGCAUAAUUGGUGGAAAGUUUUUUACUGAUAUCUGGGAUAACGGUGGCCGAGAAAUGGCAAGAGAAAUUAUUCAGAGAAGUGAAAAGGGCAUCCAUGAUGCUAGAGUAGUGGCAGAAGUUGCCGAAGGGCAAAUAGGUAUUAAUUAGUCGCACUUAUUGUGUUGUAAUUUUUAUUUCAAACUUUACUCGCAGUUUGUAAUAGUAAUGCAAAAAUAUUCUGUUUCCUCAGAACCUACUGGAUCGUCUAUUGACCCUCACAUCAAAGAGGAUGACGAAAUCAAACAAAUGGCCGAAGCUAUCAUGGAUAAAGUUGUUGAACAACUUCUAAAUGAGGCUGCCGAAGUAGUAUUAAGAGAAGACUAGAUGUUAUUAGAAAAAACAUUUGAAGUGUGAUCUAUGUAAUAUUUUGUACAUUUGAAUGUAAUAUAUAAGUCCCUUUUCAUUAUUCAAUUCUUUACGAUGCAUGAAAUUCUACAUACAUACCUUUUUUGAGCCUUCGGCGAAAAAACACCUUCCCUUCUUUUCAUGCUUCGUGAAGAAGACAUUCUCCGAAGCUGUACAAUUUCGAUAUUACUCUGAUGAGGCUCAUCCAUGCUUCGUAAAAACAUUCUCCGAAGCUGUAUUCCGAAGAUUAUCAUUGUAUUUCCUCAUGACUUUACACAAUUUUCACUUUCUCAGAGCGUCCUUUCAAAGGUUGAUACGGUGUCCCCUUCUUUUGCCAUAUGCAACAUGAUGUAUGAUGCUUAUGCUAUGCAAAAUGGUGUGAUGAUGUUAUGUUAUGCAAAUGACGUUUGUUCCGAAGAUACACACAAAAUAUCUCUGUAAACUCUGCAUUCCCUUAGGAACGUCUUUGGAGUUUCUUCGCCUUUUACUUAGGCGGUAUCAGCGUUGACUUUUCGCUGUAAGCCUCCCUUAGGAGCUUCUUCGCCUUUUACUUAGGCGGUAUCAGCGUUGACUUUUCGCUGUAAGCCUCCCUUAGGAGCUUCUUCGCCUUUUACUUAGGCGGUAUCAGCGUUGACUUUUCGCUGUAAGCUCUGCAUUCCCGUAGGAACGACUUUUGAGCAGAAAACUUACACUGCGCUCCCUUUGGAACGGCUUUUUGUGACUUCAUCAACUUACUCUGCGUUCCUUAGAACGACUUUCUGUUGCUUCGAAGGAUUUUUAAUAAUUCGAAGGUCCUCCUUGUUAGCUUCAGGGACUUAAGCCUGUGAAGAAAAUGGGUUUUCCUCGUGGGAAACAACGAAAUUAUUACAUGAAAACUAAUAAUGUUCUUUGUUUCACAGAAAAUAAAACUGAAUAGAAAAGACUGCUAUCAAAGGUAGGAUAUGUGUCAAUAAAUGUGCUUCGACUCUGGCACAGUGCUGUUGACUGUGCGAGCUUCGGAUUGUUCUCUGAAGUCCCUUUGGUGUGGGGCAUAUUGACUCCCUUCUGGCUGUUGACCCUGUUGCAGUGGAGGUGGAGGCGGAGGCUGCUGCCAGGAAGCUUGAGGUUGACUUGCCGAAGCUACAGAAGCUGCAGGGUGGUUGUCUAUGUAUUGUGGGAUGUAAGGUGGAUGAUACGAAGCAGUGUGCAUGACCUGCUUCGGCUGAGCUUGUUGAGAUGCAGCUUCGGCUAUUUCCUUUUGCUUCUGGAUUGUAAUAUGGCACGUCCUGGUGGUAUGGCCCUUGCUUUCUCCACAGAACAAGCAAAACAGUUUCCUUGGUUGAUCUCCGAAUCUUCCGCCGAAGCCCCUGGCGCCUCUGCCUCUUGGAGCUGGUGGCCGGAAGAAAGUUUGUUGUUGCCCCGAAGCCUGUGAGGAGCACUGCGGUCUGUUCUGCUGACUCCCCUUAUCAUCAUUCUGAGUGGAGUUAUGGAUGGACCUGACAUGCCUCGGAUAGGAUCUUCCUCCGAAGCCCCUGGUCAUUUCAGAAAAUCUGAAGGCCUCCUCCCUUCUUUGGCGAAAGUCAUUGUCAGCACGAAUGUACUCGUCCAUCUUUUGGAGCAGCUUCUCCAGGGUCUGAGGAGGCUUCCUAGCAAAGUAUUGAGCAGCAGGUCCAGGACGAAGCCCCUUGAUCAUGGCUUCGAUGACAAUUUCAUUGGGCACCGUUGGUGCCUGCGCCCUCAAACGCAAGAACCUUCUGACAUACGCCUGAAGGUAUUCUUCAUGAUCCUGAGUGCACUGGAACAAGGCUUGAGCAGUGACCGGCUUCGUCUGAAAUCCUUGAAAGCUGGUCAAUAACAUAUCCUUCAGCUUCUGCCAUGAAGUGAUCGUUCCUGGCCGAAGGGAGGAAUACCAGGUCUGAGCAACACUCCUGACGGCCAUAACGAAAGACUUUGCCAUUACUGCAGCAUUGCCACCAUACGAAGACACUGUUGCUUCGUAACUCAUCAAGAACUGCUUCGGGUCCGAAUGGCCAUCGAACAUGGGAAGCUGGGGUGGCUUAUAGGACGGAGGCCAAGGUGUAGCCUGCAGCUCAGCGGACAGAGGAGAAGCAUCGUCGAAAACAAAAUUUCCAUGAUGGAAAUUGUCAUACCAGUCAUCUUCAUUGAAGAAGCCCUCCUGAUGAAGGUCUUUUUGUUGAGGCCUUCGGUUCUGCUCAUCGUGGGUAAGAUGACGGACUUCUUCAGAAGCUUCGUCUAUCUGCCUCUGCAGCUCAGCUAGCCUGGCCAUCUUCUCCUUCUUCCUCUGCACCUGUUGAUGUAGCAUCUCCAUGUCCCUGAUCUCUUGGUCUAGUUCAUCCUCCUGAAUUGUCGGGCUGACAGCCUUCCUCUUCUGGUUUCGGGCCUCCCGAAGAGAGACGGUCUCCUGGUUGGGGUCCAGCGGUUGCAGUGCUGCAGCCCCAGUCGCUGAAGCUUUCUUCGGCGCCAUAGCGAGGGUCUAUAGCUUCCGAAGGUGUUCAAAAAAACUCGAAGUGGAAGUGAGUUCACCGGAGGUGGGCGCCAAUGUUGGGGACUUGUUCUCAAAUGCUAAGAGUUAAGAACAAGGCAACAUAAAAAGUGUUAAGUGUUAAAGUCCUUCGUCCUUCGAAGCAUUAUGUCCCUUCGGGAAAUAAUGAGUUUCGGACGAAGGUCAUAAGAGUCAUACCUUCGUAAACAUAACAAGUAAUGACGAAGGAUUCAUAUAAAGCAUGAAAUAUAAUAUAAGUAUCAUCAUAGAAUCAUUUCUAUUUUAUUAACAUGGAAAAAUAGAAAUGAUUUCAAAUUACAAAUGUACCUUCGGUCCUGAGAGAAGGUAAAAAGUACAAGCGUGACGCAAAAGCAAAUGCCAAGUCAGCGUGAACAGUACGGGGGUACUGUUCACCUAUUUAUAGGCACGGGAUACAACCCAUACAAAAUUACAUACAUGCCCUUUACAUUUGGUGAUAAUUCCAUAGCAAUCUAUCGAGGUCUAAAUGGCCUUUUCAUCUUUAAGUCGGUUCCCUUUUCUGCGAACAUGCCGAAGCUUUCCUGCUUCACAGCUUCGGCACUGCCAACCUUCGUAUCUUUUGAGGUUCUCCCUCUUUGAUAUAUGUCCGAAGGUACCUGUUCACACAUUACACUCUAGAAACACUGUUAAAUCAUGUUUUUGAGGACCUUCGGAAGCCGAAGGCCCCCAACAAGAUCCACCUUAACCACAUCACCAAAAUAGGUUCCACACUUCACCCAUGAAUGCACAUGGCUACAGAUGCAACAUGACUUCUGCCUUCAUACCUCUAAGGAUAUGAAGCUGCAUCAUACCCCUUCUCGGGAAACAUAUGAUGCUCAUUUGUACCGGUACGGUCGGACCAUAAGAUCGCGACGAAAACUUCAAUGCAAUGGAUGAUGAAUGCAUUAUGCAUGUCAACAACAUGAGUUCUUCCCAAAUAAAAUGUGCUAGACAUAUACUUCCACCCAUUUCACAUCAAUAACCACAUGGGUAACAUGAUCAAACCACACCCUCCACAUGUAUAAUCAAUAAAGCAUAAAUAAUUUCAAACGAUGGUACCCAAUUAGGAAAAUGGAUACGAACACAAAUAGCACAAACAUAAUCAAGUAUGAGCCUCUUCAAUCAAAAGACGAAAUAACCAUCAUUGUUUUACUUGCCUUUACCGAAGUUAGGGCAAAAUCCCUAAGAACGAUCCGGAAGUCCACCACCUUGGGUUCUCCCCUUUUCCUUCCUCCCUUCUUCCUUCCACCAAAAUGAUUGGAGAUUCGCACCAAAAGACGAUGAUCCGAGCGGCACGGAGUAGCACCUAGGGAGGAGGGGAUUGGGGGGGGGCGGCUAGGGUUUUGGUGGCUGCAACAAUGGAGGGAGGAGGAGGUGGACAGGGGGGGCGGCGGCCAAGGGGAAAUGAGGAGUGGGGGGGGCGGCAGCCUUGAGGGGGAGUAGAUAGGAGGGUGGCGGCUAGGGUUUGGGAGGCCUAAUGGGCCGAAACACCAAUUGCGGCCCAACUAACCCACGCGACAGCUCCCGACCGCAACGCAAAUGUCAAACCAAAAAAAAAUCUACUGCCCUAGUUGCGAAUGUUAUUCACAAAAUUCCAAAUCCCCAAAACAACAACUGGAUGAGGGAAAAAAACAAAAAAAAACAACCCCCAACUUCUCUUCUUUGCAAACCGGGUAUCACAUUCUACCCCUCUUAAAAAGAAUUCGUCCUCGAAUUCUGACGCUUCUAUCGGAAUGACACAAGAAAAGCUUAGCAAAUCAACAACACUUACCCACAACGAAAAGUUCCGGGUACUUCUGCCGCAUCAACUCCUCAAGUUCCCACGUAGCCUCGCGCUCUGACUGAUUAGACCAUAAGACCUUGACAUACUUAAUUGAUCUCUUCCUCAACACACGCUCCGAGAAUUCCAAAAUACGCACCGGACGACACUCCAGAGUCAGAUCCUGCUGCACCGCAAUUGGUUCCAUCUCAAUCUGAUGGUCCGGAUCCCGCAAGAACUUCCUCAACAUAGAGACAUGAAAAACCGGGUGUACCCCUGCCAUGGAAUCCGGCAGCAGCAAGCGAUAAGCCAGGCUGCCCACUCGGGCCAAGAUAGUGAACGGUCCAAUGUAUCUUGGGCUGAGCUUCCCAGAGACACCGAACCGAACAACUCCCUUAGUGGGUGAUACCCUGAGAAGGACUUGGUCACCCACAGCAAAUUCCAGAUCCCGCCUCCUCACAUCAGCAUAACUCUUCUGACGACUCUGAGCUGCCAAAAUAUUCUGACGAAUUUCCCGAACCUUUUCAGAAGUUUGCUGAACCCAAUCAGGACCAACCAGGGAUCUCUCUCCCAAAGUCUCCCAGCACAGAGGAGAGAUACACCGCCUGCCAUACAAAGCCUCAAAUGGUGCCAUCUUGAUGCUAGCUUGGUAGCUGUUGUUAUACGCAAACUCUGCCAGAGCAAGAUGAUCCUCCCAGCUACCCUUCCAUGACAGAACACAAGCACGCAACAUAUCCUCCAAGGUUUGGAUUGUUCGCUCUGACUGACCAUCCGUCUGAGGAUGAAAAGCGACACUAAGCGAAAGCUUGGUGCCCAAUGCACUGUGGAGACUCUCCCAGAAUUUGGAUACAAAUUUGGAGUCUCGAUCAGAAACAAUAGACUUAGGUAUCCCGUGAAGCCUGACUACUUCCUUCAUAUACAAGGGAACCAAAUCUGAAGCUGAAUUCGUGGUCUUCAUGGGAAUAAAAUGCGCAGACUUAGUCAAGCGAUCCACUACCACCCAAAUAGCAUCCCUGCCACGAGGGGAACGAGGUAGACCCACCACAAAAUCCAUGGUGAUAUGCUCCCAUUUCCACUCUGGAAUUUCCAAUGGCUUCAGCAAACCUGCAGGCCGCUUAUGUUCGGCCUUCACGCGCUGACAUACUUCACAGGCGGCCACAAACUUAGAAAUGUCAACCUUCAUCCGCUUCCACCAGAAGUUUUGCUUCAAAUCUCGGUACAUUUUGGUUUCGCCAGGAUGGACGGUGUAAGGCAUUUUAUGAGCUUCUCGCAGGAUAUCCAGCUUCACCUCUGAUUUCUGAGGCACACAAAGACGGCCCCUGAAACGAACCAAAUCAUUCUCAUCAAUGGUGAACUCCCGCGGUUUACCAUCACCAACCCUCCUUCGGGCUUCCUGCAAAAGACGAUCCUGCUGCUGAGCCGCACGCACUCUCUCCAUAAGUGAGGAUUGAAUAAGCAUCUGAGUCUCCUCGCUAGCGGUGCCGACAUAACACAAAGCGAUCCCCAAACGGUCCAGAUCAGCGAUCAACGGCAAGGCCACCUUUGGAACCCCGGACCUGCUAAGGGCAUCCGCCACCACAUUAGCCUUCCCCGGGUGAUAAUGAAUGGACAAAUCAUAAUCUUUAAUCAAUUCUAGCCACCGACGCUGCCUCAAAUUCAGCUCCUUCUGAGUAAAAAUAUACUUGAGACUUUUGUGAUCAGUGAAAAUGUCACAAGCCUCGCCAUAAAGGUAAUGCCUCCACGACUUUAGAGCAAAAACCACCGCAGCCAAUUCCAAAUCAUGAGUUGGAUAAUUCCCCUCAUGCUUCCUCAACUGCCUUGAGCCAUAAGCAAUCACCCUGCCUUCCUGCAUCAGCACACAGCCAAGACCAAUACGCGAAGCAUCCGUAUAAACUGUGAAACGCUUACCGCUCUCAGGCAAAGCUAGGAUAGGGGCGUCCACCAACUUGCUCUUCAAUGACUGAUAACUGAUCUCACAAUCGCUGGACCAGACGAAGGGAACACCCUUCCCCAAGAGCCUAGUCAAAGGCUUAGCAAUGCUGGAAAAAUUUGGUACGAAACGCCGAUAAUACCCAGCAAGCCCCAAGAAACUUCGGAUUUCAGAGACACUAGAAGGUCUCUUCCACUCCACUACAGCCGCAACAUUCUUGGGGUCAACCGCAAUACCCUGCUGAUUAAUCACGUGCCCCAGGAAAGCCACCUCAGAUAGCCAAAAGGCACACUUCUUCAACUUGCCAUAGAAUUGAUUCUUCCUUAGGGCACCCAGAACGAGACGGAGAUGCUGAUCAUGCUCGGCCUCGGUCUUUGAAUAAAUCAAAAUAUCAUCUAGGAAUACGACCACAAAAUCGUCCAAGAAUUCAUGCAGCAUCCUAUUCAUUGCUUCCAUAAACGCAGCAGGGGCAUUAGUUAAGCCAAAGGACAUGACUAUGAACUCAUAAUGCCCAUACCUGGUGCAGAAGGCAGUCUUCUCAAUAUCCUCCUCACGAAUCCUCAAUUGAUGAUAACCAGAGUUCAAAUCAAUUUUGGAGAACACCUGGGCACCCCUCAACUGCUCAAAGAGGACCUCAAUUCGGGGAAGCGGAUAUUUAUUCUUGAUUGUCACUUGAUUCAAAGCGCGAUAAUCCACACACAGCCGCUUGCUUUUAUCCUUCUUCUCAACAAACAAUACUGGGGAAGCCCAUGGAGACCUGCUAGGCCUAAUGAAGCCCUUAGCCAGCAGAUCAUCCAAUUGCCGCUUUAAUUCAAUCUGCUCCUUUGGAGCCAUUCGAUACGGGGCCUUAUGAAUAGGCUGCGUACCCGGGAUCAGCUUAAUCUCAAAAGCUGCAUCGCGCUCCGGAGGAAUGUCUGGAAGCUCUGCUGGAAACACGUCAGCAAAGUCACACACCACCCGGAUGUCCUGCACCCGCAAGGCAGCCUCGCCCUCCACCACCAUAGAGAAAAAGAUCCCCGACUUCCUUGACCAGCGAUCAGGAAGCAAUUGCGCCAACAAGGAUAAUGUGAACUUCGGAGAACUUCCCAAGAAUACCACCUCCUUACCCGACGGCGCCUGCAAUAACACUGUCUUCCAGAAGCAGGAUAUAACCGCGCGAUACUGGGAUAACCAAUCCAUACCCAAGAUAACAUCGAAUGCCCCCAAGGAAAUCACCACCAGAUUAGCCGAAAAAACCUCAUCAGCAAGAAUGACGGAACACCCCUGACAAACUGAACAGCUACUAAUGGAGCCAUUAGCAGAACUGACCAAAAUUGGGUGACCCAACCUCUGCACCGAAAGACCAGCCCGCGACACAAAAUCCUCCGAAACAAACGAAUAGCUAGCGCCAGAGUCAAAAAGAGCAUGGGCUGCAAAUGAAUCAACUGAAAUCAUACCUGUCACCACGUCUCCUUGCUCCCUGCCAUCCGUAGCGGGUAGCACAUAAGCUCCAGAAAUACCCGCAGAAGAGGAAGCUCCCGGAGUGACAUUAACAGAAGAACCCCACUGAGCCACCGGAGGAGGCUGGCGCGGAGCUCCAAACUGAGACAGCAUAGGGGUAGACGGCGCAGGAGUAGGCACAACCUGAUACUGCGGAAAACCUUGCAUCGGCACGAACUGAGAAGUCCCGGGCACAUAAAGCUGCUGUGGAGGAAGAGGAACUGAAAACUGCUGCUCAGCACUUGACAUCAUAUUGAUAGUGCCCUGAGAAGAGGAGGAAGCUAUCGGCUCCCAUCUGAGCUUCCCAUUGGGAUUCCUCCUACACACCACAUCCUUGUGGUCCUGACUGCAGAUAGAACACCUGCCACUCCACUGACACUCUGCACGGCGAUGCGCAUCUCCACAGCGGAAACACACCAGCCCCAACCCGGGCUUAGGAACGGCCCGAAACCUCUGAGUACUUCCUCCUGAAGUACCUGAGUCAGAAGAUUUGCCACGGUAAGGAUGGUGGCGCUGAUGCUGAGACUUGCCCCUCUUGUGAGCUGGACCUCCAGUGUUGCCCCUCCUCGUGUCCUGGCUGCGAGGUUGAUCAACACCCGAAGACUUCUGCGACUCCAUGGUGUACUGGUGUUGCAUCUCCACACCCAGCGCCUGCUCCACUGUGGUACGGAAGUCCACCAACGGAAAGGCCCCCAGAGCAUGCCUGAUAGAAGGCUUCAGACCCUGACGGAAUUGGCUCGUCUUCUCCAUCUCAUUAUAAGCCACAUGAGGGACAAAGCGGACCAUUUUGUUGAAGCCCACCUCAUACUCUGUGACAGACUUCUUCUCCUGCUUGAAGGACUGCAAGUCAAUCUUCAUUUUCUCCAGAAAGGUGACCGGGUAGAAUCUCCUUUCGAACUGCCUGAUGAAAACAUCCCAUGAUAGGACUCCUGGUGAGGAGGAGUGCGCUGCCUGCACGCCUCUCCACCAAAUCUGCGCCUCACCCUUCAGCAGCUGAGUGCCAAAGCGAACCCGAUCUUCAUAAGCAAUCUCGAAGACAUUCAUCUUAUCUUCCACAUAAGUCAGCCAAUCUGCCACCUCGACCGGAGUACCACUGCCAUCAAAAGAAUCCAACUUCAUGCCCAUCCACUGCAUCAGAGAAAGACCACUGACAGGAAGAGGCACCCCGGCCCCGCCACCAGGAACAGCACCCGCAGGGACAGCGCCCCCGGGCACUUCUCCACCUCCAGCUCCCUGAGCAGCACCUGCAGGGGCGACAGGAAUGGCUUGCCUCAGAAGGGCCAACUCCUGCUGCAUGGCCUGCAUCGCGGCUAACAUUGCCGCCGGACUCAUCGAGUCCCCACUAGGAGCUUGCGGACUACCCCGAGCUCUACGAGGCGGCAUAGCUGUAUCCACAGGGAUGAGAAUAAUAAGUAUAUGAGAUAAGCAUAGCAUCUCUCUAGAUAAUGUCAAAACUAGCACAGAGAAUAACAUAAUCAUAUCAAUAGCAAGACCGAAAACCCAUCCUACAUGUGCAGUGUGUCAAUUUAUUACUACUCCACUUGCUAGGACCUACAGCCUAUGCUUUGAUACCAACUGUAACACCCCACUGAUCCCACACAAUGGAUGAUACCAAAAAAAACCUUUCUACAAGACUCAUGCAACACAUAGAGAAAGAAAGUACUGCAAAAUCCGGCAGCACCUCCCUUGAAAGUAGCAUAACAAGGGAAGCAUAUAGUUUAUACAGGAUAUAAAAGAAAGAUAAUUGCCAUAGUAUAAUCAAAAUGCAACGGUAGAAAAAAAACAUUCAUGACCAGACAAAAGAUAGACAUCUCAGCCCACCAAACUAAACAGUUCAACUACCAUGAAAGAUUAGAAUGUAAUAAUUCCCUAGACUUGACCCUUCCUGUUUAAUAUCAUUAAUAAACAGUUAUUCCUUUAUUUAAAAGUGUGGUGGCCGUGCUGCUACAUCCCUUCUUUCCCAAAGCAAAGAUCAGGUGCCUGCAUCAGACAAUGCAAGAGUGAGAUGACACAUCUCAGCAAGUAAAAAAAACAAACAACAGUUGGACAAUGCAAGCCAACCGUGCAUAAGCAACCACAUGGUUCCCCACUUCUUCCUUAAAUAUUAAUUUGCAGCAAGUAAGCAAGUAAUCAAUUACUCAAUGCCAAGAUGAAUUCCAAAGUAAAGAUCCACCUUAACCACAUCACCAAAAUAGGUUCCACACUUCACCCAUGAAUGCACAUGGCUACAGAUGCAACAUGACUUCUGCCUUCAUACCUCUAAGGAUAUGAAGCUGCAUCAUACCCCUUCUCGGGAAACAUAUGAUGCUCAUUUGUACCGGUACGGUCGGACCAUAAGAUCGCGACGAAAACUUCAAUGCAAUGGAUGAUGAAUGCAUUAUGCAUGUCAACAACAUGAGUUCUUCCCAAAUAAAAUGUGCUAGACAUAUACUUCCACCCAUUUCACAUCAAUAACCACAUGGGUAACAUGAUCAAACCACACCCUCCACAUGUAUAAUCAAUAAAGCAUAAAUAAUUUCAAACGAUGGUACCCAAUUAGGAAAAUGGAUACGAACACAAAUAGCACAAACAUAAUCAAGUAUGAGCCUCUUCAAUCAAAAGACGAAAUAACCAUCACUGUUUUACUUGCCUUUACCGAAGUUAGGGCAAAAUCCCUAAGAACGAUCCGGAAGUCCACCACCUUGGGUUCUCCCCUUUUCCUUCCUCACUUCUUCCUUCCACCAAAAUGAUUGGAGAUUCGCACCAAAAGACGAUGAUCCGAGCGGCACGGAGUAGCACCUAGGGAGGAGGGGAUUGGGGGGGGGGCGGCUAGGGUUUUGGUGGCUGCAACAAUGGAGGGAGGAGGAGGUGGAGAGGGGGGGCGGCGGCCAAGGGGAAAUGAGGAGUGGGGGGGGCGGCAGCCUUGAGGGGGAGUAGAUAGGAGGGUGGCGGCUAGGGUUUGGGAGGCCUAAUGGGCCGAAACACCAAUUGCGGCCCAACUAACCCACGCGACAGCUCCCGACCGCAACGCAAAUGUCAAACCAAAAAAAAAUCUACUGCCCUAGUUGCGAAUGUUAUUCACAAAAUUCCAAAUCCCCAAAACAACAACUGGA